GUGUGUGUUUGUGUGUGAGAGAGGGGAAGAUAGUAGUUGAAAAAAAAAUACCGUCAUCGAAUUCACGUCGACGUUAAUUGCUUGUCCUGUAGAGCGAUACAUGGUACUUUUUUACGGCGCGUUGCGAACGCUCGUCGUUUCAACGCCGAAAAUCAUAUUUUUCACUUUGAUUUUAUUAUCUCGGUUAAACCCGUAUGUCCCGCGACAAUCGCGCAACGACGCAAAGGACCUAUAAAUUUUGUCGUUGAUCUUCCACGAAUAAACGAGGUGUCUGCUUUCUAUCAGAAAACUCUAGUAUUCUUUUGGAUUACCAUGUCGCGCAUUUUCCAUGGCUUUCCAGUGCUCGUGCAAUAUUCAAAAUUUCUCCCGUCGGAAGUUCGACGUCGAGCUGAGAAUUUGGAACGCUGGGAAACUUCCAAGUGCCGAAUUUCCUUUUUCUAUUAUUCAAAGGCCAUCCAGGAAAGAGAAGUCGCUGGUUACCGAAGUAGUAUUCUACGUGAACUACGUCUAUGUCGAUGCGAUCCAGUUUCUCAUGGAUUCUCUUAUGUGUUUACGUUCGCAUACGUGAAAUAUAGAGAAAAGUGAAGACAUCCAUAUACAUACAUAUAUAAAUAUAUACAG